ACAAGGGAUGGCUCACUGGGUAGAAGGAAUAUACAAAGAAAUGAAUUUAACAUAAAAAGAGAUGUCAAUAAGAAUAAAAAGUAUUGGGAGUGAAAGUGCCCUUGGCAACAUGUUAAUCCAACAUUCUCAUUGUAUAAAGUAGGAAAUUGAAAUUCUACUGUGCCGCAACAUUCAAAGAGAUAAAUAAAUAAGGAUGAUCUGGGGGAAAAAGCCCUGAACACUAAAACCAUCAGGAGGUGAUCAGAAACAUGAAGAAAGCGAAGCAUUUGAAGAGGCAGAUGUGAGGAAGGAAUGCACCCCUGCAAUGAGGGACUACCUUGGCAAAGGCAGGGACAUAGGCAGCUGUGAUUUCAACUCAGGAAUGGCAGGAUAUAGCCCACUACAUGCCCCACCAUCAUACAUGCUGCCCAUUGGACACUGAAGAUCCCGAGGGCUGGAUAAUCCCCAAACCUGCAAGUCUAAUACGUGUGUUACUUGCUAUGAUUCCAGCAGCUUUGAUGUCAGUUCUGCAGUCCUUUGGCUUUCUUCCACCUGUCAGAGGUCAUCAUCACAUCAUCACAGACUUAGAGCUGGAAGACAUUUUUAAGGUGGCAAAGCACAAGAUCAGAAAAAGAUACCCUCAUGUCCCUGUAUCGUCACUGAGUAAAUAACAGGUGCCAGUAUUAUCCCAUCUGUGAGAAGGCAUACAGUUAACAUCUGGAUUUGUCUCAACUUUGUCCUGCUUUGCUGGUCUUCCUCAUGGUAUGCACUUUAUCCAACCCUUAGCAUCUGUGAUUUCAUCCAAUGAGGCAUUCCUUCCGAAGAUAUAGGUAUCAGCCUUUCUCCAAAGCUCCAUCCUCUUCAGUUUGUGUUCAGGAGAGGAAACUGAGGCUCAGAGAAUUAAAAAAACUCAUCUAAACUAAGACAUGUGGAAGGGAAACUUGUGGAAAUCAAAUUAGAUACUCACCGUCAAGUGCUGGAACCACUGGAGCGGUGCACCAUUUCCUUCUCCAGUUCAUUUUACAGAUGAGGAAACUGAGGCAAACAGGAUUAAGUG